UGCUGAAGAGUUCCUAAGCCAACUAUUGGGUAUUUUGGAGGGAGAGUUUUUUCUACGGUCCAAACUUAAAAGUGACAGUCUGGAGUAUCUCACUAAGCUCAACCACUCCAACAAACAGAAUCUUCAUGGGCUGGAUGAAGACCAAAAAUACAUGUACAAAUUGUGGUGCUCAGUCGGAAACUUACUCUCCUUUCUGUCAUUUGGAGGUAGCUCCCCAAAAAUUUCGGGCAGGAGCACAGUCUUUGCAAGUUAUGAUCUCAGAUUAUUUCAACACCGAUCGUAUCUCGUUGAAGUGCACAUGUAACCACAAGACUGCUGCUAAGGUGUAUUCUGUUCACAAGAGCCCUCUGGUCCUCGUUGUUCAGGUAAAAGGUGAGUGACGAUCCAUUUAGGAAUUUGGAAAGUUUUCCAAUGCAUCUCAGUUGACAUCUUUUUUUUACAGGUUUCCUGCUGUUGUGUGUUAAGAAUCCAAGUCUUGUUAUUUUUACUCAUCAUUGACUGUACCUGGUGUAAAGGAAACAUAUGAUCUUAAUUCUGUUGUUGUCACAAAGGUCCUACCAUGACCAAUGGGCAUUACGUUGCGCUGGCUAAAUGCCCUAAUAGAAGAGUUCAUCUCUUUGAUGAUGACAAUGUGUCGCCUGCUUCCUUCAGUGACCCAGAGGCCUUACAAGGAUGUUACUUGCUCUUCUACACUAGAUGCCCCGAAGUUCCUAAGUUAGUUAAUUAAAACUGUUCUGCCA